GACGAACGCUGGCGGCGCGCCUAACACAUGCAAGUCGAACGAGCGAGAGAGAGCUUACUUUCUCGAGCGAGUGGCGAACGGGUGAGUAACGCGUGAGGAACCUGCCUCAAAGAGGGGGACAACAGUUGGAAACGACUGCUAAUACCGCAUAAGCCCACGGGUCGGCAUCGACCAGAGGGAAAAGGAGCAAUCCGCUUUGAGAUGGCCUCGCGUCCGAUUAGCUAGUUGGUGAGGUAACGGCCCACCAAGGCAACGAUCGGUAGCCGGACUGAGAGGUUGAACGGCCACAUUGGGACUGAGACACGGCCCAGACUCCUACGGGAGGCAGCAGUGGGGAAUAUUGCACAAUGGGGGAAACCCUGAUGCAGCGACGCCGCGUGGAGGAAGAAGGUCUUCGGAUUGUAAACUCCUGUUGUUGAGGAAGAUAAUGACGGUACUCAACAAGGAAGUGACGGCUAACUACGUGCCAGCAGCCGCGGUAAAGUCUGUACU
rnacentral:rRNA from 1 species